GACCGAUAGCGAACAAGUAGAGUGAUCGAAAGAUGAAAAGCACUUUGAAAAGAGAGUUAAAAAGCACGUGAAAUUGUUGAAAGGGAAGCGCUUGCGACCAGACUCGCCUCCAGGGUUCAGCCGGCAUUCGUGCCGGUGUACUUCCCUGGGGGCGGGCCAGCGUCGGUUUGGGCGGCCGGUCAAAGGCUCCCGGAAUGUAGUGCCCUCCGGGGCACCUUAUAGCCGGGAGUGCAAUGCACCAGCCUGGACCGAGGAACGCGCUUCGGCACGGACGCUGGCAUAAUGGUCGUAAACGACCCGUCUUGAAACACGGACCAAGGAGUCUAACAUCUACGCGAGUGUUCGGGUGUCAAAC
rnacentral:rRNA from 1 species